UACGAAGGGGGCUAGCGUUGCUCGGAAUUACUGGGCGUAAAGCGCGCGCAGGCGGUCGUUCCAAGUCAGUGGUGAAAUCCUGGAGCUCAACUCCAGAACUGCCUUCGAUACUGGCGAUCUUGAGUCCGGAAGAGGUGAGUGGAACUCCUAGUGUAGAGGUGGAAUUCGUAGAUAUUAGGAAGAACACCAGUGGCGGAAGGCGGCUCACUGGGUCCGGUACUGACGCUGAGGUGCGAAAGCGUGGGGAGCAACAGG
rnacentral:rRNA from 1 species